rnacentral:tRNA from 1 species
AUUCAAAUAGCUUAAAUAGAGUAUAAUAUUGAAAAUAUUAAGGUGAUAAAAAUCUUUGAAUA